AGAGAGAGAGAGAGAGAGAAGUCUAACCUGUUUGGAAGUGGAGAAAGUGGAAGAAAUAGAUGGGUAGUAGCUUUCUCUUCCUCUUUCUCUCACGCAUUCAACUACACUUUGUUCUUCUCUUCCUCUUCUCUCUCUACAGAAUCCCCAUUUCUGCAAUUUCAAUUCAUUUUUCUGCUUACUCUUUAAAUUCCUUCUUGUCGAAUUUUGCUAAUUUCGAAAAAAAUUAAAUAAAUAAAUAGAACCCUUUAUCGAUCGAUCCCUCUCCCCCGCUUGGGUUUUUUUUUUU
rnacentral:misc_RNA from 1 species